AUGGCAGAAUUAAGUGACGACAAAACUCAUAAAAAGAAGAAAGCAGUUAUUCUGGAGCAUCUUAAUAUGUUCCUGGUUUUCCUAUCAAAUCUUACUGACGAUCAAAAGAUGAUAGUACGAAAACUAGGGUUCGGUUCUAUUCUUCAAAUUUCAUGCAACUCCAAUGUGGAUGAUUUAUUCCACUGGUUAGCCAUCCAGUUUAACACAAGUACAUGCAGCAUUGAACUGAAGAAUGGGUUUAAAUUCAAAUUCACAGACCAUGUUGUGCACAAAAUACUGUGCAUUCCAUGUGGAGGUUUACCAAUUCAGACAACCCCUACCGAUGAAACAGUUGAAUUCAUGAAUACAUUUUUGCAAUCAGCUAAUGCAACUCCAGAGCAUCUAUUCUCAAUGAUUACUCCUACCAUCACUGAAGAAGCUUUCUCUAGGAUAUUCUUGCUUUUGGCUCUUUCUAUCCUCAUUGCACCUAACUCAAAAGGGACUGCCCGGCAAAAAAUUCUUCAGUGCAUUGGUGCACAUAGAUUCUGUUCCCAGAUACAAUUGAUGCCCUUUUGCCCUGUCUUUCUUGGUCCAUCAAAUUAG
rnacentral:rRNA from 1 species